rnacentral:tRNA from 1 species
AGUGGGCUGUGGCUUAGUGGUAAGGUGUCUGUUUUGUGUACAGAUGGUCCUAGGUUCAAUUAGACUCAACACCACUU